GACGAACGCUGGCGGCGUGCCUAAUACAUGCAAGUUGAGCGCUCAAGGUUGGUACUUGUUCCUACUGGAUUAGCAGCGAACGGGUGAGUAACGCGUGGGUAAUCUGCCUUUGAGAGUGGGACAACAUCUGGAAACGAAUGCUAAUACCGCAUAAAAACUUUAAACACAAGUUUUAAGAUUGAAAGAUGCAAUUGCAUUACUCUAAGAUGAUCCCCGGUUCGAUUUGCCAAGUUGGUAGGUUAAGGCUCUACCAGGAGAAGAAACCUAACCGGACUGGGAGGGUGGACGGCCAAAAUUGGACUGAGAACACGGCCAAACCCCUACGGGAGGCAGCAGUAAGGGAUCUUCGGGAAUGGACGAAAGUCUGACCGAGGAACGCCGCGUGGGUGAAGGAGGUUUUCGGAUCGUAAAAACUUGUUGGUAGAGAAGAACGUUAGUGAGAGUGGAAAGCUCACCACGUGACGGUACCUACCCAGAAAGCGACGGCUAACUACGUG
rnacentral:rRNA from 1 species